UACGAAGGGUGCAAGCGUUACUCGGAAUUACUGGGCGUAAAGGGUGCGUAGGUGGUUUUUUAAGUCCGUUGUGAAAUCCCUGGGCUCAACCUGGGAAUGGCAGUGGAUACUGGAAAGCUAGAGUGCGGUAGAGGGUAGUGGAAUUCCCGGUGUAGCAGUGAAAUGCGUAGAGAUCGGGAGGAACACCAGUGGCGAAGGCGGUUCUCUGGGACGGUACUGACGCUGAGACGCGAAAGCGUGGGGAGCGAACAGG
rnacentral:rRNA from 1 species